rnacentral:rRNA from 1 species
UACGUAGGGUGCAAGCGUUAAUCGGAAUUACUGGGCGUAAAGCGUGCGCAGGCGGUUAUGUAAGACAGGUGUGAAAUCCCAGGGCUUAACCUUGGAACUGCAUUUGUGACUGCAUAGCUAGAGUACGGUAGAGGGGGAUGGAAUUCCGCAUGUAGCAGUGAAAUGCGUAGAUAUGCGGAGGAACACCGAUGGCGAAGGCGGCCCCCUGGUUGGAUACUGACGCUGAGACGCGAAAGCGUGGGGAGCAAACAGG